rnacentral:lncRNA from 1 species
GGAAGAUAGUCAAGGGAGCUAGUGCUAUUUCCACAUUACAACAGAAUAUCAAAUAACAGCCAAUCACAGCGUGCACGAAGAACAUGGUGACCGCAUGCGUUGUACGUCCUUGUGAUCCGGUCCAGGUGGUUGAGCUCCUGUUGCCUGGUCAGUGUCACGUUCCCAACAAUUCCAGCCAAAGGGAUACAGUACACAUCUGGCCUUGACAGGUCACACCAUCUUCUAGACUCAGUUGAUGACAGUAUGGAGCAACAAUUAUAGUUAAAAAAGGCGAGCCUAGGCGGGCGCUUAAGUGCGUGCAGGGCUACAAGCUCUAGUAGAUAGCCACACGCCUAGCACUUAAUCUGUGCAUCCUCGUGCACUUUGGUGAGAAAAGCGCAAGGCAGUGGCAAAACGCACAAUUAAGGCCUAGUGCUUUUUUAAACUAAUGUUCUUAUUCUGGAAAGCUUGCCACUGAAAUGAUGUUGUGUGUAGCAAGGGUAAUACACGGAUUGCUGAAUCGGUGCAAUUUCUAGAAAGCUAUGUUCAUUCUGUAUGUGGUACAAGCAAGCCAAAUGCAUGAUCUGAAGGGUAAAGGGAACUUUGGCAUGAUGGCUAUUGAGGAGCCUAACCUAAGUUAGGGCACUUCUGAUACACAUUUGAUCUUGGAACCUCCACAAGUUGGCCAGGUCAAAAAUGAAUGUGGAUGCCAGUUUGAUCUAACAAUUUGCGACAUGCUGUGCUGUCAGCCUGAGGUAUAUUCCUAAUGUGCAAGCAUUCUGGAAACUGAGAUGGGAUUUUAGCUAACGGCUCAAUGGAUCAACCAGCCAGCUAUUGUUGAAACUGAUUGCCUUGCACUAUCUCAAGCUAUAAAUGGUUCCGACCCAGACAGAUCUUUAGCACAUGGUAUUCUGAAGGGCAUCCCUCCUUUCAACCUUUUAUGAAGGGGAUUGAUGCGCAGAUCCUAUAAAGGAGCUGACAUAUUCAGCAGAUGCAGUCCCAGAUUGUUCACUCCUGGUGCUUUCAAGUCAAACCUGCAGCCUCAAUCACCAAAUGCUGAUCAAUUUAAGGCAAUCGCUACUCAGAAUUUGAGAUCCUAUAACUUUUGGGCGUUGCAGAUGUACUUCAAGGAAAACCUAAUUGCCAAACAUUUCCCCACCCCCAAGUACAGCGAGCAACUAGUCAAUGCCAACAAAACGAACAAACCAUGCUGCUGAAGCUUUCUAAAUUGUCAUACCCAAAGACACUUUGCUAAUUAAUAGCUGCUGAGGAUGGGUACCGGGCAUGAGAGAGAGAGAGAGAGAGGGCACAAAUCGGAGCGUUUGGGGGAGGGGGCGGGGGGUGCUACCAGAAGGCGGUGUAGUUGGCGAAGCCGAUCGCGGAGGACAUGACGCAGACGGACGCG